AGCUUUGCGCAGUGGCAGUAUCGUAGCCAAUGAGGUUUAUCCGAGGAGCGAUUAUUGCUAAUUGAAAGUAUCAUAUACAUGGUCACUCAUAUCCUUGCUUCUUAUAAAUGUUUGAUUAAAAAUAUUCAAUGGUGAUAUUUU